GCAUUAGUGUAGUCGCGUGAAAUUCAUGUCAGCUUGCGUGUGUAACUGCAUGCGACAUUUAUUAUAUCAAAAUUGAAGCAGGCAAGUCGGAGCACUAGAGCACUGUCACAUUCACCCUUGAACGAAAGCUCCAGCCGUUCGGAACCAUUCGGCAGCGGUUUUCUCGAAUGUCAACCUGAAGGAAGUAAAUCAUAUGUGCUCACUUAAUGCCGGAACGUAUCAGGACAGUUCGGCUCUUGGAACCGAAUAUUCAGUUAUUCUUGGUACAAUUAAUGAAAUUCAAAAGCUGCACCUUCGAACGGUACAAAUAGGAACAGGAAGCUUCUCAAUAGUUUGGUGUUAUAACGGUGCGAAUGGAUCUUCAGGACUCGAGUGGUCUGACUCCUUCGAAACAGAGCGCAUGACUCAGACGACAAAUGUAACUUACUCGAGCAGCAUGGCAAUGCUUUAGCCAGGAGCCAGUAGUGCCGAGUUUGGUCAAGAAGUUGAAAUUCACAAUCUACUUAUCAUCGAUCAGAAUACGUUCGAGUUGCUACAUGCACAUCAAUUCAUGCAAACGGAGUAUACUAUGUCACUGAUUCCGGCGAAAUUGGGCAACGACUCGAAAACUUAUUGCAUCGUCGGCACAGCACUGAUACAUCAAGCGGAACCGGAACCCAAAAUAGGAAGGAUUAUCAUCUAUCACUACGAGGAUGGAGCCCUCACUCAAGUUAGCGAGAAGGGAAUCAAGGGCGCGUGCUAUUCUCUCAUUGAGUUUAACGGCCGUGUAUUGGCCAGCAUCAAUUCAACUGUACGAUUGUAUGAGUGGACUGAUGAUAAAGAUUUGCGACUUGAAUGUAACCAUUUCAAUAACGUGUUGACAUUAUAUUGUAAAACCAAGGGAGACUUCAUUUUGGUGGGUGAUUUGAUGCGAUCUGUUACGCUGGAGGUAAUUUUGAGGAGAUCGCUCGCGACUAUUAACCAAAUUGGAUAACAGCAGAGUGGAUAACAGAACAAUCUAUUUGUUUGCCUAAAAGAUGGAUAAGAUGGGCUCUGUUUAUCAUACGAAUUUUUGUAUUUAUUUGAAGGGCCGCAACAACGGACGACGAACGACAGCAAAUGCCAGCGGUUGCUCAAUUCCAUCUCGUUAAUAUGAUGAAUAUAUUCCGCCACGGUUCGCUCGUGAUGGAAAACAUUGGUGAGCGUACGACGCCGACAACGGGCUGUUUGUUAUUUUGGUCAGCUAUCGGUCUGGUCACACAAAUAUCACCUGAUUAUGAAUUAUGAAUUUCUUCGAAAGUUACAAGAAAGUUUGACUGACACUAUCAAAUCUGUUGGCAAGAUUGAUUAUUCGUAUUGGCAUAGUUAUCAUACCGAAAUGAAAACGGAACGUUGCGGGGAAUUUAUUGAUGGAGACCUUAUAGAAGGUUUUUUAGAUUUAAGUCGGGAAAAAUGUACGAUGUAUUGGGAUUGCAGAUCGAC